rnacentral:rRNA from 2 species
ACAGGGAUUGCCCCAGUAACGGCGAGUGAAGCGGCAACAGCUCAAAUUUGAAAUCUGGCCCCUCCCCCGGGGGGGCCCGAGUUGUAAUUUGCAGAGGAUGCUUCUGGCGAGGUGCCUUCCGAGUUCCCUGGAACGGGACGCCGCAGAGGGUGAGAGCCCCGUCUGGUCGGACACCGAGCCUCUGUGAAGCUCCUUCGACGAGUCGAGUAGUUUGGGAAUGCUGCUCUAAAUGGGAGGUAUAUGUCUUCUAAAGCUAAAUACCGGCCAGAGACCGAUAGCGCACAAGUAGAGUGAUCGAAAGAUGAAAAGCACUUUGAAAAGAGGGUUAAACAGUACGUGAAAUUGUUGAAAGGGAAGCGCUCACGACCAGACCUGGUCCCGGCGAAUCACCCGGCGUUCUCGCCGGUGCACUUCGACGGGCUUCCAGGCCAGCAUCAGUCCGCGCCGGGGGACAAAGGCGGCGGGAACGUGGCUCCCCAGGGAGUGUUAUAGCCCGCCGCGCAAUGCCCCGGGGGCGGACUGAGGACCGCGCGUCACCGCAAGGAUGCUGGCGUAAUGGUCGUCAGCGACCCGUCUUGAAACACGGACCAAGGAGUCGUCCUCGUAUGCGAGUGUUGGGGCGUCAAACCCCCCGCGCGUAAUGAAAGUGAACGGCAGGUGAGAGCCCUCGCGGGCGCAUCAUCGACCGAUCCUGAUGUUCUCGGAUGGAUUUGAGUAGGAGCAUACGGGGCCGGACCCGAAAGAAGGUGAACUAUGCCUGUGUAGGGUGAAGCCAGAGGAAACUCUGGUGGAGGCUCGCAGCGGUUCUGACGUGCAAAUCGAUCGUCAAACAUGGGCAUGGGGGCGAAAGACUAAUCGA